AGAGUUUGAUCCUGGCUCAGGAUGAACGCUGGCGGCGUGCCUAAUACAUGCAAGUCGAGCGAACGGACGAGAAGCUUGCUUCUCUGAUGUUAGCGGCGGACGGGUGAGUAACACGUGGAUAACCUACCUAUAAGACUGGGAUAACUUCGGGAAACCGGAGCUAAUACCGGAUAAUAUUUUGAACCGCAUGGUUCAAAAGUAAAAGACGGUCUUGCUGUCACUUAUAGAUGGAUCCGCGCUGCAUUAGCUAGUUGGUAAGGUAACGGCUUACCAAGGCAACGAUGCAUAGCCGACCUGAGAGGGUGAUCGGCCACACUGGAACUGAGACACGGUCCAGACUCCUACGGGAGGCAGCAGUAGGGAAUCUUCCGCAAUGGGCGAAAGCCUGACGGAGCAACGCCGCGUGAGUGAUGAAGGUCUUCGGAUCGUAAAACUCUGUUAUUAGGGAAGAACAUAUGUGUAAGUAACUGUGCACAUCUUGACGGUACCUAAUCAGAAAGCCACGGCUAACUACGUGCCAGCAGCCGCGGUAAUACGUAGGUGGCAAGCGUUAUCCGGAAUUAUUGGGCGUAAAGCGCGCGUAGGCGGUUUUUUAAGUCUGAUGUGAAAGCCCACGGCUCAACCGUGGAGGGUCAUUGGAAACUGGAAAACUUGAGUGCAGAAGAGGAAAGUGGAAUUCCAUGUGUAGCGGUGAAAUGCGCAGAGAUAUGGAGGAACACCAGUGGCGAAGGCGACUUUCUGGUCUGUAACUGACGCUGAUGUGCGAAAGCGUGGGGAUCAAACAGGAUUAGAUACCCUGGUAGUCCACGCCGUAAACGAUGAGUGCUAAGUGUUAGGGGGUUUCCGCCCCUUAGUGCUGCAGCUAACGCAUUAAGCACUCCGCCUGGGGAGUACGACCGCAAGGUUGAAACUCAAAGGAAUUGACGGGGACCCGC
rnacentral:rRNA from 1 species